rnacentral:lncRNA from 1 species
CUAAUCCGAAAAGCACAAACAGAUCGAGAGAUGACUCUCCUCUCAAGAUCUGUAAAAGCACCACCACCAGCAGCAAUAGCAGCAUGAAAAUCCCUGGAUAAGGCACCUAGACAUCUACUCUAUAUAUAUACAUACAGAGAUAAUAUAUAUAUAUAUAUAUAGAAAGAGAGGAAGAUCUAAGGUAUAAAUAGUAUAUGUAGAGUGAGAAAAAACAGAAGAAGAAGAAGAAGGAGAAGAUGGAAGAUACCUGGAGAGUAGAGGGAUAGGCUUUCUCCCCUGCUUUGCCUAUUGGCUUUUGUUUUGUUUCUUUCCUGUUAUGUGUUUG